rnacentral:rRNA from 1 species
GUGAGGAAUAUUGCGCAAUGGAGGCAACUCUGACGCAGCCAUGCCGCGUGCAGGAAGAAGGCGCUACGCGUUGUAAACUGCUUUUAACCGGGAAGAAACCCCAGGACGUGUCCUGGGUUGACGGUACCGGAGGAAUAAGCACCGGCUAACUUCGUGCCAGCAGCCGCGGUAAUACGAAGGGUGCAAGCGUUAUCCGGAUUCAUUGGGUUUAAAGGGUGCGUAGGCGGAGCGUUAAGUCAGUGGUGAAAUCCUGCAGCUUAACUGUAGACUUGCCAUUGAUACUGGCGCUCUUGAGUGCGCUUGAAGUGGGCGGAAUGUGCCGUGUAGCGGUGAAAUGCUUAGAUAUGGCACAGAACACCAAUUGCGAAGGCAGCUCACUAAGGCGAUACUGACGCUGAGGCACGAAAGCGUGGGGAUCGAACAGGAUUAGAAACCCAAGUAGUCC